CCAGGAGCGAGCAGUUUACGGUAGGGGGCGGGGUGGGCACUGCUGGGAGGAGCCACACGGACGUGUGAGAGCUGACCAGCGUGCUGGAACUGUUGUAGAAGUUCUGGGUUUCGGGAGAAGCGAGUUGGGCAGGUUAUGUAAGUCCAUCGUUCCUGGGGCCAUGGGACACACUUCUAAAACUGAAAAUCCAAGUAGGCGGCCAACAAACACUCUGUCAGACUUUCAUAAUUCAGUCAUCUCAUGUCUUCACUAGGCCGCAUUAGAAUAUAGCCCCAAGGCCCAGGAGGUAUCCAAAGUUUUGACAUUACAACAUGAUGUUGCCAUCUACAAAGUUCACACUAGAGAACUGUGCAAUCGAUUUCCAAACAUCAUACACCCACUCGAGAAAACAAAAGCAAACCUCUAAACUCCUUUUUUUUCCUGUGUCCUGAGGUCACACUGCUGCUCUCUUUGUGUGCUACGGCACCAGAGCAUAGUCCUAGGCCUAGCAGUGAGUACCAUAGCAGGACAAUCAUUUAGAAAGAUCCUUCUGCCCAUUGAAGAAUGUUGGCACAAAGCUAAAACUGUAACCAAACAUGGCUUUAUGCUUCCAGAAAGAUCUCAAGGAAGUUACUGCAGGUAACAGUAGCAGCUGCAGGAUCAAGACAGAGUGGAGGAAUAGGAGACCAUGUUCUUACUCCCUGGAGAUGGAGACUUCA
rnacentral:lncRNA from 1 species